CACGUGAAAUUCCGUCGGAAUCUGGGAGGACCAUCUCCUAAGGCUAAAUACUCUCUAGUGACCGAUAGUGAACCAGUACCGUGAGGGAAAGGUGAAAAGCACCCCGGAAGGGGAGUGAAAUAGAACCUGAAACCGUGUGCUUACAAGUAGUCAGAGCCCGUUAAUGGGUGAUGGCGUGCCUUUUGUAGAAUGAACCGGCGAGUUACGAUUUGAUGCAAGGUUAAGCAGUAAAUGUGGAGCCGUAGCGAAAGCGAGUCUGAAUAGGGCGUUUAGUAUUUGGUCGUAGACCCGAAACCAGGUGAUCUACCCUUGGUCAGGUUGAAGUUCAGGUAACACUGAAUGGAGGACCGAACCGACUUACGUUGAAAAGUGAGCGGAUGAACUGAGGGUAGCGGAGAAAUUCCAAUCGAACCUGGAGAUAGCUGGUUCUCUCCGAAAUAGCUUUAGGGCUAGCCUCAAGUGAUGAUUAUUGGAGGUAGAGCACUGUUUGGACGAGGGGCCCCUCUCGGGUUACCGAAUUCAGACAAACUCCGAAUGCCAAUUAAUUUAACUUGGGAGUCAGAACAUGGGUGAUAAGGUCCGUGUUCGAAAGGGAAACAGCCCAGACCACCAGCUAAGGUCCCAAAAUAUAUGUUAAGUGGAAAAGGAUGUGGCGUUGCCCAGACAACUAGGAUGUUGGCUUAGAAGCAGCCAUCAUUUAAAGAGUGCGUAAUAGCUCACUAGUCGAGUGACACUGCGCCGAAAAUGUACCGGGGCUAAACAUAUUACCGAAGCUGUGGAUUGUCCUUUGGACAAUGGUAGGAGAGCGUUCUAAGGGCGUUGAAGCAUGAUCGUAAGGACAUGUGGAGCGCUUAGAAGUGAGAAUGCCGGUGUGAGUAGCGAAAGACGGGUGAGAAUCCCGUCCACCGAUUGACUAAGGUUUCCAGAGGAAGGCUCGUCCGCUCUGGGUUAGUCGGGUCCUAAGCUGAGGCCGACAGGCGUAGGCGAUGGAUAACAGGUUGAUAUUCCUGUACCACCUAUAAUCGUUUUAAUCGAUGGGGGGACGCAGUAG
rnacentral:rRNA from 2 species